rnacentral:lncRNA from 1 species
UUUGAUUUCACUAGCCGUCGUAGAAGGGAAAGAGGAUCUAUUUCGGGGUUGGUGGCACGAUUGAAAUUAGAAUUCUUCAGGCAAUCGGCAGGCGAUCCCUCUCCAAGAACAAAUCCAGAGGGAAAUCCGAUUCAGCGAGUGAAGUCACCUGAGGGUUAGAACCCAAUGUGAUCUUAGAGCUAUUGACCACCAUCCCUAGUGGUAGCAUGGUUUGACUCAAGACUUUCCUUCUGAGAUGGGAAAGCUUACCUUCUUGAAUAAGAAAGAACAUUAAUAGAAUGAAUGGCUAAGCCAAGACCUUAAUAGAGUGAGUGGCCAAGCCGAGAAUCUGCUCUUUGAAAACUUGUGUCGAGAGGGAGAGUUCUUCUUUCUCGGCAGUGAAGUUAGCUCGAAAGGGAUCGAUCCCACACUCGGCUCAAUGCGAUAAAGAAGAAAGGCAAUUGCUCUGACUUCCCGAGGGUCACGAACGGUAGAACAAGAAUUAAGGAAGUAAGCAA